rnacentral:rRNA from 1 species
CCUACGGGAUGCAGCAGUGAGGAAUAUUGGUCAAUGGGCUUACGCCUGAACCAGCCAAGUCGCGUGAGGGAAGACUGCCCUAUGGGUUGUAAACCUCUUUUGUCAGGGAGCAACGCCGGCUACGUGUAGCCGGACUGAGAGUACCUGAAGAAAAAGCAUCGGCUAACGUCGUGCCAGCAGCCGCGGUAAUACGGAGGAUGCGAGCGUUAUCCGGAUUUAUUGGGUUUAAAGGGUGCGUAGGCGGAAUGCCAAGUCAGCGGUAAAAUCGCGGGGCACAACCUCGCUCCGCCGUUGAAACUGGCGUGCUUGAGUGGGCGAGAAGUAUGCGGAAUGCGUGGUGUAGCGGUGAAAUGCAUAGAUAUCACGCAGAACUCCGAUUGCGAAGGCAGCAUACCGGCGCCCAACUGACGCUGAAGCACGAAAGCGUGGGUAUCGAACAGGAUUAGAUACCCUUGUAGUC